GCCCGCCUAGCUCAAUCGGAUAGAGCGUCAGACUCUUACGAGUGCGGGUGGAAACAAGAUCCUGUGAUCUGAAGGCUGCGAGUUCGACCCUCGCGGUGGGCU